rnacentral:lncRNA from 1 species
GUUCCAGACUGUUCCUGGAAAGUCAGGAAGCUGGGAAUACCAAGCUUUAGGCUACCAGAGUGGUCGCUGUGGCCUUGGGCAACUUUGCCCUCCACCUGGCUUAGAGACUGCUCCAGCUCUGCCUGCAGCUGGGAAGGAUUUUUUUUCCUACUUGAAAAGGUUUUCCCUCCCACCUUUGCGGCACGAAGUGGAAACUUAAGGGUUCUUUCAGUUGUGUUGGAUGGUGUUUUGCUAAAGCAAACACGUGAAGGAACGUUUCGCUGAGGCAGGCACAGGAGAAAGGAUGUUCUGCUAAAGCAAACCGGUGAAAGGACGCACGAUGAAGGACUCUUUGAUAACGACACACAUGUAUUGGUCUGCUUUUCGUUGUGUUGUGACUCCAUAGAAAGAAAUGAAUCAAAAAACUUCUGAUCGUGUGCCGAGGCUUCUUUGUUGCUUCUGUGGACUUGGGCCGAUUGAAACAGACUCACGUGCUGAGACAAGACACAUGGUGAGGCAAGACCCAUGGAGGAGAUGUGAUGUGUGGAGGGAUUAUAAAUAGGACUCAACAGAUUGU